rnacentral:rRNA from 1 species
GAGUUUGAUCGUGGCUCAGAACGAACGCUGGCGGCGCGCCUAAUACAUGCAAGUCGAGCGAGAAGGCGUAGCAAUACGCUUGUAAAGCGGCGAACGGGUGAGGAAUACAUGGGUAACCUACCCUCGAGUGGGGAAUAACUAGCCGAAAGGUUAGCUAAUACCGCAUACGAUUCCCGGACUGCGGUUCGGGAAAGAAAGCGAUACCGUGGGUAUCGCGCUCCUGGAUGGGCUCAUGUCCUAUCAGCUUGUUGGUGAGGUAACGGCUCACCAAGGCUUCGACGGGUAGCUGGUCUGAGAGGACGAUCAGCCACACUGGCACUGCGACACGGGCCAGACUCCUACGGGAGGCAGCAGUAAGGAAUAUUGCGCAAUGGGCGAAAGCCUGACGCAGCGACGCCGCGUGGGGGAUGAAGGUCUUCGGAUUGUAAACCCCUUUCGGGAGGGAAGAUGGAAUGGGAAACCAUUCGGACGGUACCUCCAGAAGCAGCCACGGCUAACUUCGUGCCAGCAGCCGCCGCGGUAAC